UACGUAGGGUGCGAGCGUUAAUCGGAAUUACUGGGCGUAAAGCGUGCGCAGGCGGUUCGUGAUGUCGUGAUGUGAAAGCCCCGGGCUCAACCUGGGAACUGCAUUGGAAACUAGCGGGCUGGAGUGUGGCAGAGGGGGGGUGGGAAUUCCACGUGUAGCAGUGAAAUGCGUAGAGAUGUGGAGGAACACCGAUGGCGAAGGCAGCCCCCCUGGGCUAACACUGACGCUCGAUGCCACGAAAGCGUGGGAGCAAACAGG
rnacentral:rRNA from 1 species